rnacentral:misc_RNA from 1 species
GUGAAUCAUCGAAUUUUUGAACGCAAAUUGCGCUUUCUGGCAUUCCGGGAAGUAUGCCUGUUUGAGGGUCAGUAUUAAUAAAAAACCGGUUUAUUGACGAAUUGCGACGUUUCCGGAGGGUGGGCUAUCUUAACAUCUUUGGUUAAGAGGCUUAAAAUUGACCUUGUUUGCGCACUGUUAAACGUACAUAAUUUUUUUUUAUUCGUCUAUUCUUAAUGCUAGAAUCUUACUUGAUGCGAACACAUCGUGUGGCUUUGUGUCCAUAAUAUU